rnacentral:rRNA from 1 species
GCAAGAUACCACGGGCGCACGGCGGAUGCCUUGGCACAGGGAGCCGAUGAAGGACGCGGCAAGCUGCGAUAAUCCCCGGCGAGGAGCACACAUCCUUCGACCCGGGGGUCUCCGAAUGGGCGAACCCAUGCACAGCAGUGUGCAUAUCCCCCCGCUGAACGCAUAGGCGGGGGGAGGACAACCCGGGGAACUGAAACAUCUAAGUACCCGGAGGAGAGGAAAUCAAUCUCGAGACUCCCCGAGUAGCGGCGAGCGAAAGGGGACCGAUGGCCAAACCGUCGAGCGGGCAUACCCGGCAGGGGUUCCGCCGACGGGGUUGCAGGGCCGCGCAUCCGGGGGCUGCCGCCCCCGGGCGCAGGUCCGGCUGGGGAGCGGAACGGCAUGGGAGGGCCGGCCGCAGCGGGUGACAGCCCCGUACGCGAACCCAGACCGGACGGCGCGACGCGGUCCCUGAGUAGGGCCGGGCACGUGAAACCCGGUCCGAACCUGGGUGGACCACCAUCCAAGCCUGAGUACUACCCUGUGACCGAUAGCGCACCAGUACCGUGAGGGAAAGGUGAAAAGCACCCCGGGAGGGGAGUGAAACAGUACCUGAAACCGUGCGCCCACGAGCAGUCGGAGCACCCUUGUGGUGUGACGGCGUGCCUUUUGUAGAAUGAGCCAGCGAGUCGCUGGCGCGGGGCGAGGUUAACCGAAAGGGAGCCGGAGCGAAAGCGAGCCUUAACAGGGCGACUUGAGUCCCGCGCCGCGGACGCGAAGCCGGGUGAGCUAUCCGUGGGCAGGCUGAAGCGGGGGUAAGACCCCGUGGAGGGCCGAACGCACGUCGGUUGAAAACGGCGGCGAUGACCUGCGGAUAGGGGUGAAAGGCCAAUCAAACCCGGAGAUAUCUCGUUCUCCCCGAAAUAGCUUUAGGGCUAGCGUCGCGCGUUCACCGCCGGAGGUAGAGCACCGGAUGGACGAGGGGGCUUCGCCGCCUACCGAAUCCAACCGAACUCCGAAUGCCGGCGGCCCAGAGCGCGGCAGUCAGAGCAUGUGGGCUAAGCUGUGUGCUCGAGAGGGAAACAGCCCGGACCGCCCGCUAAGGUCCCCAAGUUCCAGCCGAGUGGCAAAGGAUGUGCGUCCGCCCAGACAACCAGGAUGUUGGCUUAGAAGCAGCCAUCCAUUCAAAGAGUGCGUAACAGCUCACUGGUCGAGUGGACAUGCGCCGACAAUACACGGGGCUAAGCUGGACACCGAAGCGGCGGGAUUUUACCUAAGUAGAAUCGGUAGGGGAGCUUCCCAUGGGCGGUGAAGCCGCCGGGCGACCGGCGGUGGAGCGCAUGGGAGUGAGAAUGCUGGCAUGAGUAGCGAGAGACGAGAGAGUAACUCGUCCGCCGUGAACCCGAGGUUUCCUGGGCAAGGCUAAUCCUCCCAGGGUCAGUCGGGGGCUAAGGCGAGGCCGGAAGGCGUAGCCGACGCGCAGCAGGCAGACAUUCCUGCACCGCGCACGCGGCGCUACGACCGACGGGGCGACGGAUGGGGGUGGCUCGGCGGGGUUCUGGACGUCCCCGUGAUGGAGCGCGGCCCGCGGACCAGGGAAAUCCGGUCCGCAGAAGGGCGAGGCUCCGGACGAAGCGAUUGAGCGAAGCGAGUGAGCCCGAGGUCCCUAGAAAAACCCCUAGGCAGGCGCGUGCGCGCCCGUACCGCAAACCGACACAGGUGGGUGGGUAGAACAUACCGAGGCGAUCGGGUCAACCAUGGUCAAGGAACUCGGCACAAUGGCCCCGUAACUUCGGGAGAAGGGGUGCCCGCGCGUACGUGAACGGACUUGCUCCGGGAGCGGAGGCGGGCCGCAGUGGAGAGGCCCAAGCGACUGUUUACCAAAAACACAGGACUCUGCAGAAGCCGCAAGGCGACGUAUAGGGUCUGACGCCUGCCCGGUGCCGGAAGGUCACGCGGAGGAGUUAGCCGCAAGGCGAAGCCCCGAAGCCAAGCCCCGGUAAACGGCGGCCGUAACUAUAACGGUCCUAAGGUAGCGAAAUUCCUUGUCGGGUAAGUUCCGACCUGC